AUUGAACGCUGGCGGAAGGCCUAACACAUGCAAGUCGAGCGGCGUGGGAGACGGGUGAGUGAUGCAAAGGAAUCUGCAUGGAAGUGAGGGAUAACGUACGGAAACGGGCACUAAUACCGCAUACUCUCAGAUGAGCAUAGGUCGGAUUAGCUAGUUGGUGGGGGAAAGGCACACCAGGUCGACGAUCCGUAACGUGUCUGAGAGGAUGAUCAGUCACACUGGAACUGAUACACGGUCCAGACUCCUACGGGAGGCAUCAGUGGGGAAUAUUGCACAAUGGGCGAAAGCCUGAUGCAGCCAUGCCGCGUGUGUGAAGAAGGUCUUCGGAUUGUAAAGCACUUUAAGUUGGGAGGCGUUACCAACAGAAGAAGCACCGGCUAACUUCGUGCCAGCAGCCGCGGUAAUAC
rnacentral:rRNA from 1 species